AAGUGAGUAAUGAUCUUGGAAGGUUAAGUAGAUAAUAUGAUUGUGAAAACCUAUUAAAUCCAAUUAUUAUUAUUUUUUUUCUGUGACCAUGAAACACAAUCUCUAAAAGCUGAGAUUGUGCAACUCCCUGGAAGGCUCAUGGCUCAGCUCAGCAUUCAUCUAAUGAAAACAAAACCAAAAAUAAAACACAAGUGAUCCAUGAGGCUGGCUCUUUGAGCCUCAUUGCCUGUAAUUGUAAACAUCUGAACUUCAGGAUUUUCAGGAAAUGUUCCGCCCUGCAAGAUGUGUGGAAAGUCAAGAGGAGCCCAGCCCAAAGGUUGUUUUUGACUGGUGACUCUUCAUGCUACUUGUCAUGAUUAUGCCUACCCAGAUACUAAUCAGUGAGAAGAGCACAAGGGGCACAGACAUGACCAGACCCAGCGGGGAGGAGCUGAAGGAGGAGGAAGAAAUGGGAAGACAGGCUCCUCGCAACCCCCAUUGCAUCGUCUACUCUUCUCAAGGCAAAUAAUCCAAGUUCCAAUAGCCUUAAAUCGCAGGGGCAACAGUAAAACUCCAAAUGAUCCUUCUUGCUUGGAACUUAGCCUGCUGCUUGCAACAUCUCUUGUUGCUCCUGAGGUUAAAUCCAAUGGAAAGGGAUAAGAAGAAAUAUGAAAAAGACAGUGUUGAAAAAUAAUAUUAGCAAAUCUACUUUUUUUAUGUUAAAUUAAUUAUUCUUUGAUUUAUUCAUUCAAAACAUAUGUACUAGGCACUUACGAUGUUCCAGGUAGUAAUAUAGACACAGUGUCUACUGUGGAUCUAAGAGUGGAGCAUCUAAGGCUCUACCCUCAAGGAGAUUAUUUUCCAGUCAGGGAAACAGACAACAAACUAAGAGACAAAGCGAUAUAUAAUGGGAUGUCUGGUAUCAUAAAUGCCAAUGUGUGUGAAGCUCUGUACCAAGAAUUUACUUACACAGAGCUCACCUUCUCCUCACAACUCAAAUGAGAUAGGAUUGUUGUUUUAUUUUCUUCUGAAAAGACAGUUUCAGAGCAGAAAGGAACUUGUCCCAGGUUAUCCUCGAAGAAGCUGAGCUCAGGUCUGCCUGGCCCCACAAUCUGUAGUCAACCAGGUGGGUCUGUUUGGACUCCCCCUCUGCCAACCUACAUCUGCCUGUCCUGAAAGAUGCCUUCCCGAGCUUGCCCUCUCUGAGGUCUCAGAGCACUGCCUGCUUGUAGAAUUCAGUUAGCAAUUAACCGUGGGCAACCUUAUGGGAGUUGCCAUCUCUUUUUAUUUAGAUCUGUUAUUGACAUAUUUUAUUUUUAUUUAGCCUGAUCAUGAU
rnacentral:lncRNA from 1 species